rnacentral:rRNA from 1 species
UACGGGGGGAGCAAGCGUUGUUCGGAUUUACUGGCGUAAAGGGCGCGUAGGCGGUCAGCACAAGUCAGUUGUGAAAUCUCCGGGCUUAACUCGGAAAGGUCAACUGAUACUGUGCGACUAGAGUGCGGAAGGGACAACUGGAAUUCUCGGUGUAGCGGUGAAAUGCGUAGAUAUCGAGAGGAACACCUGCGGCGAAGGCGGGUUGCUGGGCCGACACUGACGCUGAUGCGCGAAAGCCAGGGAGCGAACGGGAUU